rnacentral:sRNA from 1 species
UCGCAGAGGUUUGUCCUGUUGACCCCUGUAAAUUAACGUCAGCAGUAGAGGUUCAUUUAAUAGCUACCGCCUGACUUGCUGGCAGCCUUACUAAAGCAACUUACUAACAAAACAGGCUUUUAAGAAGUCCAAGCUAUUAAAUAUCAUCUUAUACACAAUUUUCUAAAAUAUUCUGAAAACAUUUAAAUAUGUUGUACAGUCACAAUUUUGUGGCUUUGUGGAUACUGGAUAGAUCAGUAAUAAGUAACACUGUAUUUGAAACAUAUAGAGGGGGAGAGAAAAACUUCUUUCUAUCACUCAACUUAAAUUCUGUAAGUUCAGCCAUAGAAAAUGCUAUUAAAUCAAUGGAAAAAGUUAGUAUUUAAAGCUGAGAUUUACUAGUCCAUAAAACAAAACAUGGGCCUUUCAAUGUAAAUCAUUGUUUUUAAAAGUCAAAGAAAUACAUACAAAAUGGCUUUUAUGAGGGUGCAACAAACAAUUAACUUUCCCUGUUGUUUUUAUGAGUAUUUUCCCACCAUAUUGGGGAAUGUCCCCAAUUGUGAAUGAAUGUCAUUCACAAUUUAACCCAACUUGUUAAAAGUUGUUUCUUAGAAUUAUUUACCUCAAAUUUUCACUUUCCCAAAUUAGAAACAGAUUUUUCCUUGAGUUCUUUGAAAUUCGUGUAAUGACAGAAAAAGUCAGCACUGUCAUAGGCCAUAAAUUUAAAAAAUAAUUUCAACUAAGGCCUAGAUAACACAAAACUCAAAGAGUAUAUACAUACCAGUUAUGGUAUACUCUUUUACUAUGAAUUACAUAACUGAGUUACAUAGUAUACUUUUAAAAUAUGAGUUACACAAGAUGAAACUUAGUUUUAACCAUGUCAAAGAAAAUUUAGGGGAAAAAAAGCAUUUAAAAUCAGCAUAAAAGGAAUGAAAAUAAAUUCAAGGUCAAACAUCAUGUCCUCAUAUUCAUCAGUAUGAACACUAAUGAGCUCACUAAACAAGGCUGCUUUGUGAUUAAAAUCACCGGCAGGUAUUUGAAGAUCAGGUAGCCCACAGGAAAUUCAUUUAUCUAUGGAUAAAUAGAUAUCUAUGGAUAAAUAGAAUGAGAGGCAACUGGAGGCCAGUAUAGAAUGGAAAUAAAUGAAAAUUUGCACAUUAUUUUAUAGUAGUCCCUAACUAAAAAUGGUUAAAAAAAAGUCAAUUUUUUAAUGUGUGCAAUAUAUGAUAUCCUCUAAAUUUUCCAAAAGAAUUAUAAUGGAGAAACUGUGACUUGAGCAUUUUUUCCUUGCCAGUGAUGCAAUCAUAAAUUCUCUAAACAAAUGAAAAAAACAAAAGAAAAAGCAAUGCUGACUGGAUAUCCAACAACCAGGUAAUUCAAUGUGAAAGAAAGAAAAUCUUUCUCACACACAAGUCUUCUUUAUAACUUUCUGACUUGUGACUACUGCAGUUAAAACUCUGCAAUCAAAUAUUAAUAAUUCUACAACUUAUAAAGAGGAAAAAAGUUAUAUUUUAUAAAAUAAUUUUCCCUUAAAUUUCCUUUAAAUUUACUAGACUAUGUUAGACUCAAUUUUUUAAUAAUCUUCAUGCCCAUUUACUGUCUAUCAAAUCUGAAUACCACCAAUUAAAUUAUCAUCUACUCUACUGCUUCCUCCAUCAGCACUGCCAAGUACUUCGUUCUUCUCGAAUAAAGACUCCUAAGAUCAUCCACUUAACCUUACACACGCUUCAUGUGUUUUUCUAUUCCAUCCUUUACUUUGACACAAAUCUCCUUAACUCUCCAUAUAAUACAAAUUAUUCUGCAUUCUGCUUUGAUUGAUUGAAUCUGCCCUUUCCAUCUCUCUCUCUCUCUCUCUCUCUCUCUUCCUCCUCCUCCCCCUCCUCCUCCCUCUCUCACUCUUUCUCCCACCCUCCUGCUUGCUCUCAUGCAGGCAAGCGUGUGCAUGCAUACACACACGUUUGGCCUAUACAAAUCCUAUGUAUUUCUCUAUCCAAAUCUAUUUCCUCAGAAAAUUUUUUACUAAUUUUUUUUUGCUAUAAGAAUUUAUUAUGUGUCCGUGUGCUUUAGUAAAUACUUAUGUGUGGCUUUAGUAACUACUUAUAAAUAAUUUUGUUAUGAUAGCUAAUAACAAGCAUUAAGAAAAUUUCUAAAGCUUUAUCUUGUUUUAGAAAAUAUGGAAAAAUAAAUUCCUAAGAAAGUAGACUUGGAAAUACAGAAGGGAGUAGGGAUGACUAUUAAAGUCAUUGCUUAAAUCUAGGCUCUAGAAUUACAUAAUAAUAUCUUUACAUGCUUACAGCUAAACAUUAGUCUAAGUAGCACAAUGCCAAUUUUAGAAGAUGAAACUUCUCUACUCUUAUACUAGUUUCUCAAAAGCUGUCAAAAGAUGGAAGCAGAUUUCAUUACGAGAGAUCAUAGUGUCUGCUCUGCCAAGUAGAGCACCUUUCAACUGCAAAUGAAUCAGUACAUUUACUCAGGUACCGAGGACUGAGCAUAAGGGCUUGCACAUGCUAGGCCAUAACUGACUCUGUCCACCUCUUCAAAUGCAAGCUUACUGCAUCUUCAUAUGAAUCCUAAACCCAAAGAUUCUAAAUAAUUUAACAGUUUUAAAUGCUGAAGUAUUAUUAGUAUGAGAUUAUUAUGCCUAAUGUUAACAUAAAUAUCAAUGGCUUAGAGGCUCAGUGGUUUCCUAUAAAAACAUUGGUUGAGUUAGGUUUAGGACACACACCUGUAAUUCUGGCACUUGAGAGGCUGAGGCAAAAGGAUUGGGAGUCUGAGAUAAGCCUGGACUAUACAGUGAGGCUCUAUCUCAAAUACAAGUAAUAAAAUACAAUAAAAAUACUUCUUCAGUUCUUAAACAUUGCAGGGAUUUAAAAGAAAUAUUGUGUGUGUGUGUGUGUGUGUGUGUGUGUGUGUGUGGUAGCGGCUUACACUUCUAAUCCUAGCAAUCUAGAGAUAGAAAUAGGUGGAUCAAGAGUUUCAAGGCCAGCCUAACCUAUUUAAAAAAAAAAAAAAAAAAAAAAACCUCUGCUUUAGAAGAGGGGAGGAGAUUUCUAACUUUUAAGUGAAGAAAACUACUAUGAAUUAUAAAACACAACACAUCUACUCUUAACUGUGACUUUCAGAUUUUACAUAAAUGUACAUUCCUCUAAAUAGGCUGUAGCAUGAUGGGAACAUCCGUAAACUGACCACUGUUACUUACACACUCAAACUUUAUCUUCCUUUGCACACUACUUAUAGUACUUUCUCCAAAUCUAAAGCUAACAUUUUUCCUUUCUUAAAUGUGGUCUUUGCUAACCCAUAAUGGUUAAGAGGCAAACAGUUUUAUCUUCUGACUAUGACUAUAAUUAAAAUAAACCUUUCACAGGGGUUGGGGAUUUAGCUCAGCGGUAGAGCGCUUGCCUAGUGAGCACAAGGCCCUGGGUUCGGUCCCCAGCUCCGAAAAAAAGAAAAGAAAAAUAAAUAAAUAAAUAAACCUUUCACAUUGUUAGAAAUAAUCUCAGGGUCUUGAAGAAACAAAAAAGAAUACAUACCAAAAAGCAAGAGAACACUGAGAAUAAGUAAGUGUGCAGAGCCUAAACCGCCAACGUUUUAACCUGGCUUUUAUCCCUGAUGUAAGUGGUGACUGUGUCUCAUGCUAUCGGUGGGACUCAACUUUCAUAAUCUCACCUGAAAGUUCAGGAAGUGAGUCCUUACAGGCUAUCUUUAAAAAGAAAAAAUUAAGUUUCUCACAACAUGGCAACUGUUGUUUUAAAUAAAUGUGACACUACAAUAUUGAAGAAAAAUAAGCAGAACUAUGAAGUUAGUCUGUGGCUUUAAAAGUGCACUGACUCUUGAGAGUAUCUUACUGACCUGAGAUGAAAAUAACUGAAAAGGAAAAGGUGGGAAGAGUAACCCAGAGCACAGGAUUGACUGGCCCAUUUGAACACUGUGGAACAUUAGACCGGGAAUGGGAAGAGCCGAGGAAAAGCUAGUUAGACAAUGGAGAAGAUGAAAAGAAGGGAUGGGGAGGGUACUAACCUGAGAUUAAAAAACAAAUGAACAGACAAACAAACAAAAAACUCAAUGGUUUGUUUACAUUUUGAAGCUAGGAUCUCAAGUAGUUCAGGUAGGCCUUAAAUUUCUGAUCAUCGUACUUUUCUGUAUGCCAAGUGCUGGAGUUACAGGCAUUUGUCACCGCGCCUAUUUCAGGUCUGCUUAAAAGUAUAAAACUGAAGCCACAAACAGAAAAUAAAUUAUUCUUUGUAUAAUAACAUCCCUUUGCUAUGAGAUAGAUUCGCCUUUCCCAAUGUAUUGAUUGAUAUUCUAUUAGAAAAUGUACAGUGAUCCUAUAACAUUGGUGAAGGAAAUGGUAAAAUCACUCUAUAUAUUGAGAGGGCAGGCAAGUUACUCUAGAGAACAUUAAAUGAAUCCUUUUAUCAAAUAUGAUAAAACUUGAACUUAUGACAAGAAUUAAAAUCAUUUUAUUGCACCCACCUUGCAAGACUUUUAUGCAAGUAUUCUAUUCUAAUCUUCCCACUCAGUAAACUCUUUAUUAUACAAAGGCCCUACUACAUUUUUCAAUUAAAGAGGCUGACCCCUUCCACUCUUCAUUUCCUGUGCAUUGAUUCUUUUACACUAGCCAAUCAAUAAGACUUUAAUUGGACCCCAGCUAAUGGGAAAAAGACACAGUCACCAAUUGCACUGGAAUAAAAACCAAGUAUACUUUCUGUCUCAGUGUAUUUUGCUCUUUGGAAAAUCAUUCUCUUGACCAAGAGUAAAGUUUGCUUGUUCAGAUACUUCACUUGGAAUGGCGGUGGUCUCUCUCUUUGCAAUACCCUCAAUUUAUUUCUAAUGUUAAUAUACAUGAGAUUAACUAGAAAAAUUAAAACAAGUUGCUCUGUUAAAAAAGAAGAUUGUAAAUAUAUAUAUAUAGUCUCAAAAUGUGAAUCUGUGAAAUCCAGAAAGGCUAUAAAUCUUUUGAAGAAAACAAAUUAGAGCAGGCUCUCAUGCAGCACAAGUGGACCUGAAAUUUUCUAUAAGCUGAAGAUGCUGCUGAACUUCCAACCAUCUUGCCUCUCCUUGAGAUUACAAAUACGUACCCCACACUGUGUUUAUGUGGUACUGGAGGCAGGAUUAAAACUGCAUGGAUGCUAGAGCAAGCAUUCUACUGCCUCAACUAUAUUCCCAGCCCAGUUUUAUGUUCUCAAGUCAACACAAAUUUUAUGCAGUACAAAAAUAACAACUGGCUAAGAAUAAAGACAGUAAUAAUACAGUUUCAUUCUUUUCAUGUUAAAGACAAAUAACAACUAAAAAUGUUUAAAAGCAUUUUAGUUCCUCAUAUUCUAAAUAAAGGGUUCCAGGUUUUUUUUAUGUGAAUCAAUCAAGUGUAUAAUGCUCCCAAUGCUAUAAACCGUGUGCUAUUUAAUCAUCAUGCAUUUAUAUAGCUUUACUGAACUAACACAUGUAGUAAAAAAUGGAGAAUGUCAAAAGAUAGAAAAUUCUAUGAAAAUGAGGUUUUGUUGUUGUUUUGUCUCAAGAUGGGGUUUCUCUGUGUAGUCCUGGCCAUCCUGGAACUUAAUCUGUAGACCAGGCAGUCAUGGAAUUCAGAGAUCUUUCUGCUUGUGCCUAUCCCAGUGCGAAGACUAAAGGUAUACACCACCACCUGGCUGAAACUGAUAUUUAAAAAUUAAAAAAAUAUUUUUCUCACCCUCACUCCACUCUCAAGUAUACACCAUUAACCCUAGCUCUUUUCUACAAUUGUUUAUUUGAUGUAUUUUGUCAUCACAAUGAAAAGUUGACCAAUAGAAGUAUCUAAUACAGGUGUGUAUUUUUAAAAAA